CAGCAGCCGCGGUAAUACGUAGGUGGCAAGCGUUGUCCGGAAUUAUUGGGCGUAAAGGGCUCGCAGGCGGUUUCUUAAGCCUGAUGUGAAAGCCCCCGGCUCAACCGGGGAGGGUCAUUGGAAACUGGGAAACUUGAGUGCAGAAGAGGAGAAUGGAAUUCCACGUGUAGCGGUGAAAUGCGUAGAGAUGUGGAGGAACACCAGUGGCGAAGGCGACUCUCUGGUCUGUAACUGACGCUGAGGAGCGAAAGCGUGGGGAGCGAACAGGAUUAGAUACCCGAGUAGUCCCUGUCUCUUAUAC
rnacentral:rRNA from 1 species